rnacentral:lncRNA from 1 species
AAAGAUGGUUCAAAGUGAUGGCACCAAGAAAGAAAGCUUUUGAAUGGACUGCUAGUUCUCCCUAGAACUACUAUUCACCAAGCAGAUGCUUAAUAAAGAAGUGUUGGAUUAGUGACCUACAACCAGCCUAAGAAAUAGAAGAAACUGAUUCUGUGCUGCAGAACCUAUAAAAUCACAUUUAAGGUCCUUCAUAGGUCCAGACGAAGGAAAGAAGACAAG